AACCAUGUGAGAGGUUUAUAUCUCACCACCUAGGAUGCUUGGGGUGUGACCAACAUCAACCAUGUGAGAGGUUUAUAUCUCACCACCUAGGAUGCUUGGGGUGUGACCAACAUCAACCAUGUGAGGGGUUUAUACCUUGCCACCAGGGUGUCCGGGUGUGAACGGCAUCCCCCAUCCUAAGUUGGGGUUAUAGAUUGGUUGGAUCAUGCAUACACAUAUGAUAUCUACUAUUAGUAUAGAGUUACUUAAACAUGUUUUGACUUCACUUUGAUCAUGCAUCCUCAUAUUGUU
rnacentral:lncRNA from 1 species